GAACAGAAUUGCAUGUUCACAGAGCCGAGGAAUUCUGCCAGUUGCUUUAAGACAAAGCAGGCACUCAAGAAGCAAAAACUAGGAUCAACUCUUUGCUGCUGGUGUCUGAUCUAUGACCUCCACUUGGAAAGAAAGCUAAAGGCAAACCAGGACAGAAGAAAAACAGAACCAAGGAACACAUUUAAGAAGAUGGCGUAGCAAAGGCAAGUGCGAGAAGAAACAGAGCAGAGGGGAGAGCCAGGCAAUGCGACUGCCAACAGCAGCUGUGUCCAGAGUAUCUGUCAGAUCCUCGUAUGAAGUCAUUACUGCUUUAGUGACAUAUUACUGACAUAUUUGUAAGUUUACGGUGCCACUGUGAUGAUUGGAUACAUGUAUAUAUUGUGAAA